CUUAAGUAUUUGCUUCAUUUGAUUAUAAUGUCUCCACUAAAAAAAAAUCACUUUCGGAUUCAAAGCACUUUUACCAAACUGUAAAUUCCUUGAGGGCAGGGAAUUUUCUUAUUUCUUUAAACAAAGGGUCUAUUACAGGGCUACGCCUAGAGACACUUCAGUAAGUAAAUGAUUCUCAGAUUGAAUUGGACAGAAUUUUCCAUUUGUGACCUCAACAACUUCUGUUCAGUUAAAGUGACUGUUAAUAAAAGUAUCUACUUAAUGGAAAGUACUCUGCUUCAGAGGAAACAGGAGUCUAACGCCAAGCCAGGUGUCAAAGAGCUCAUGGCUUAGUAGACAAGUCACUACAGCAAAAUGCUAUGUGAAGACACUGAGGCUUAGAGAGACUAAGUGACUAGCUAGAAGACUGUGCAGCCAAGACCCUUCCUUUUCCUGGAGUAACUGACUCCAGGGUGUCCUCCUCUUCUGAAGAGACUCCCCAUACCAAGGAGGAACAAUGGCCUUCCUUCACAGGCCUCAGCUGGAGAACUACAUACAAAGUGAGCAGAGAGUCUCAAAGGAGUUAAGCAGCUUGCCCAACAUCCUCCAGCUGGAAAUGUCAGUAAGCUAGGAUCCCCAAUCAGGUAGGUCUGCUUUACUCCCAAGCUCCUGCUCUUCCUUCUAUGUCUCCGAUGGGGUGGAAGGCAUCAGAGGGGGACUAAAGUUAGUGUCACAGAAUGCUGAGUUUGGAGAUGCAUAAAGUCAGAAGAGGGUGAAGAACAAUCAGCUUGGUUCUGGUGAGGAAAAUUCCUAGGUAAUCAUUUGAGCUUAGGUAGGUAAAUGUGAGACACUGGUACAUUAUUACAACAGAAAUGUCUAUGUUAGCACUGUUCCUCUGUUACUGCAACAUGGUAUGUUGUAUCACCAAAGCUGGAGAACUGGACAUUUUUGUUUACAACAUGCAAACAACUUUAUUCAACAUCUGUUAAAGAUUUUUUUCCUCAUUUGUAUUACCCAUAGAGGUAAUGUUUACUAUUUCUGAUGUGAAAGGAGAAAGCAUGAACUCACUCUCUUAACAACAGCAUAUCCAAGUAUGCAGUCAUAUAUUUAGUAUGCUAAAUGUAUAUGUGAUCAUUUUGUGUAUAAUAAUUGAAGCUGACAAUUUUGUUUUCUAACAAGACAAAGAUCCAAAAACCAAUAUGAUUUGAAGGUGAAGUGCCAAUUUAUAGACUAAUAUUUUCAUUGCCAUCAGGAAAAGUAAAUAUAACAUGAUAAAUAAUCAUGCAUAGAUAAAAAUGAUAUAUUCUUUGCUUUUAGGUAAAACCCAAAACUAAUCACCUCUACUGGGUUUCCAGAGAUAUGAUUCAGUAGAAAGUUAUUCAUUUUGUAAGUUCCAAACAUUUUUUAUCUUUACAGAAGUCACAUUAAAAUACAGUAGUAACUCUUCUAGUAUUUUCUCUUUUUGUUUGUAGGACAUUUCAUGUAUUUUUUGUUAGUUUAAAACCUCAAUUUAAAACCUCAAGCAGUAGUAAUAUAAAAUGGUACAGGCAAUGUAAUAUGGUGAUCCACUGUUGAAAUCUUCUGGCAGUUACUAAAAAAGUUAGAGUUCCCAUUUGACCCAGCAAUUUCACUCCUAGGUAUUUACUCAAGAGAACUGAAAGCAUA